rnacentral:lncRNA from 1 species
GAAUUAAGAAGGGCUGUAAAUGAGCAGCUGAUAGAAAAGGACAGCUGGGAAACUCAGAAAGGAUACAAUGAAGCAGUUAAAAAUCACCUUUCAGUCACCUCUUUAU